UACGUAGGGGGCAAGCGUUACCCGGAUUUACUGGGUGUAAAGGGGGCGCAGACGGCGAUGCAAGCCUGAUGUGAAAGCCCGGGGCUCAACCCCGGGACUGCAUUGGAAACUGCCCUGCUGGAGUGCCGGAGGGGCAGGCGGAAUUCCUAGUGUAGCGGUGAAAUGCGUAGAUAUUAGGAGGAACACCAGUGGCGAAGGCGGCCUGCUGGACGGUGACUGACGCUGAGGCUCGAAAGCGUGGGGAGCAAACAGG
rnacentral:rRNA from 1 species